rnacentral:rRNA from 1 species
UAAGGAAUAUCGGACAAUGGAGGCAACUCUGAUCCAGCCAUGCCGCGUGAAGGAAUAAGGCCCUAUGGGUUGUAAACUUCUUUUAGACGGGACAAAACCCCUUUACGUGUAAAGGGUUGAUGGUACUGUCAGAAUAAGCAUCGGCUAACUUCGUGCCAGCAGCCGCGGUAAUACGAAGGAUGCAAGCGUUAUCCGGAAUUAUUGGGUUUAAAGGGUGCGUAGGCGGACUAAUAAGUCAGUGGUGAAAGCCUGCAGCUUAACUGCAGAAUUGCCAUUGAUACUGUUAGUCUUGAGUACAGUUGAGGUAGGCGGAAUGUGUCAUGUAGCGGUGAAAUGCUUAGAUAUGACACAGAACACCGAUUGCGAAGGCAGCUUGCUAAGCUGUAACUGACGCUGAGGCACGAAAGCGUGGGGAGCAAACA